AUGCAUCUCUGACAGCCCUGGAGAAGCUAAUGUCUGCUGCUAAGGUUUCCACUACAGGUGCAAGAAGGUCCUCGCGCUUUCUGUCUGUCUGUCGUGGUAACCAGGACUGAGUAGGGGAAUACAGGA
rnacentral:snoRNA from 1 species